rnacentral:snoRNA from 1 species
CAUGGGCGGUGAUUACCCUCGAGUGCAUAACUCGUCUUACCUAUUUUCAGAGCCCCUUGGGUGCUGCUGAAACAUUUUUACCCUGAGCCC